CGGGCCUCCGCACCGGCCUAGCGGGAGGGGCGCGCGGGUCUCCGCCAAGCCCACUGCGCGGAACCCGGAACAGCGUCUCCGUGGCCUGGAUUUACCGCUUUGGUUUUCACUGGCGUGCUGUCUACGCUGUCGCUGUUAGAUUCUGGCUGCGGGCGGGAGGCGCUCGGCGCUGGGCUCCGGGCGCUCAGGCCGCAGGACUAGAUGAGCUGUGAGCGGAGAGGAGACCCUGUGAAAAGAAAUGAUUGUUCUCAGAGUUUCGUGAAAAACAAGUGAUCAGAGAAGAGCCUCCCCCCCUGCUACUUUCCCAACAGAGUCAGCUCAUCCCGCAAGUGCCACCCAGGCCAGGCCAGCGGCGCAGCUGUUCUGCGGCCAGCAUUGCACCAGCAGCUGGGAAUGGGUCACACCCUCUCCUGGGAGCGUGGUUCCUGAGGGAUUUACGGGAUCCUGAGUCUCCCUAGGAUCCUCAGCGUGGCCGUUCAGGCACAGCUGGGUCAAAAUCACCACCACCAGGGCUCAGUGACUCAGUGACUUUACCCUGGAAACCUCAGGCUUCUCUUCUUCGAGGCCGUCCUCUCCCGAGCCAGGGAACGAGCUGUGAGAAGGGGCUGCUGCAGUCCCUCCAUGCUGACCGUCUCAGCCCGAGUUCAGCCAGGAGAGGGACAGCCCUCGUCACCGUGUGACAUGUUUACUUCUAGCCGAGGAAAAUACCGCCGCUGCGGCUGCCCUUCCCUGCGCAGGCACUGGCCUGGAGACGGAUAUUUUAUGUCUUCCUUUGAUGAUUUACAAAUAAAUUAGUGCGAUCGAGAAGGUCUGCCAGCAUCUAUGCGUACGGGAAACCCAAGACGGUGAAAAAUGAUCGUGAUUUACCGUAUCCCGAUACUUCCUUCUUAAGAACCAAAUAAAUAUCAUCGGCUAGUUUAUGGAGCUGACAUAUUUAUUGCAGAAUUCCCGCCGGAGGACUUCCCAUUGUCCUGUGUUCUCACACAUUGUUUUCACAAAUUGUGGCUUGAAGGAAGGCAGGGAAAUUCAGGCUGGAGAAGCAAGAUGUUAUCUUUUGGAAAGGAUGCGCCUCUCUAACGGGACAGGAUAAUCCAUUCAGAGGCUGGAAAGCCCAGUCCUCCGGGGGUGUGAUAAAUCCACAGGAUCUGGAAUCUGGGACUGCUUUGGGACCUUGAAGUUAGCUGGGACAACUUAGCCCCGGCCCAGACAAACAGUGUAUCCUUCUCGCCGGAUAAGCGCAGACAGCUGUGCACUCCGGUUUGCCCUGUUUUCCUUACAGGCGAUUGCAUUCACGGAGGCCGAUCUCCUCACGUCCAUCAGCAGUGGGCUAGGCGCCUGAUGCCAACCUGGGCCCGUGCGGCUCUGUGAUUGGAAAUCGGUUUCCAACAGGGACGGGGCUCCUGCUCCUUGCAGGUGGGACCUGUGCAUGGAGAGCGAGGCAGAGCAGGGUCACUCGUGACUACCAGAGGACCAUGCUGUCCUCAGAAGGUCAGAGUAGGACAGCUGGCAUCGCCGGUACAGAACUCACGUCUUGAGUGGGAUCCAAGCAGCUCCUCACCCUCCCCGCUCCUAACGCGCCUGGCACCCUCUGAAGCCACCCAGGUGCCCCUAUCUGUGCAAGCGCCUUUGGCCAGGCUGCAUCGGAAGCCUGCAGCAGUGGCAGCUUUGAGGGACAGGAGAGCAGCUCGCCCCAGCUCUCCUGUUGCUAGUUGCCCGAGUUUCCCCAAGAUCACACCCACACACCCGGCCGGAGCAACCCAGCCAGGCCUGGGGAGGGAGCCGUCUUUCUGGGACAGUGUCCAGUCGUUCCGUCGUUCGUUCCGUCCCAGCCAAGCACCUGCGCGGCCGAGCUGGUUCUCAGGUGUUCACAGACUGACUGUGGCUGCUGUCGGGCCUGUCCUUGGAAAACCCCACGUCCCCCGUUCUCUGUGCUGCUCCUGGAGCUGAAAGCCGCCUCACUGAGUCUGCGGACAGCCUGAUGGGCCCCAGGACCUGCGUGUGCUGUUCCGCCUCCUCGGUCAGCAGCGAGACGCCUGCAGGGGCCGUUCUUCUGGCUUGGGAGGGACUCGAGCCGCUGCCCAAACCUUCACAGCUGCAUUUAGCAGUCGAAGGAAGGUGAUGGGAAGCCACACAGAGCCCCUCAGCACCAAGCUUUGCUGCCUGUUUGGUGCUGGUGGAGUCAACUGCACGGGCCCAAGUGUCACUGAGCUGCAGACAGCUCGGACCUCUCCAGAGAGCCCGCCAGGACGGCAGGCAUGGAAAACAGGGCUUCUCCCACCUGGCUCCCACGGGCCGAGGCGGAGGGUGCCUACCCCAGUGUGUAGCCCCCCUCGGUUUAAUGUUUCUCUGUCCACAAACAAGAAUCGUUUUCUAAACCACUGCCUCAGCUUACUUUAAAAGGUCCCAGGACAAAAGUCCUAGGUGAGCCCAGACCCCAGUCUGAGGUGUGGACUGAGAAAAAUAUUGUACAAUCAAAACAGAACAAGUGCUGGGUGAGAAACAGCAAUGAUCUGACUGAGAAAGUUAGCCAGCGUUGUUAAAGAGACUGUUACAUACGACCUUUUUCUUUCCUGUGUUUUUUGGAGACAG
ensembl:lncRNA